rnacentral:tRNA from 1 species
GCGGCUGUGGCGUAGUGGCUAUCGCGCUUCGUUGUGGCCGAAGAGGUCGCCUGUUCGAUCCAGGCCAGUCGCA